rnacentral:rRNA from 1 species
UACAGAGGGUGCAAGCGUUGUCCGGAAUCAUUGGGCGUAAAGCGCACGUAGGCGGGUCAUCAAGUCGGAUGUGAAAGCCCACAGCUCAACUGUGGAAGUGCAUUCGAAACUGGUGAUCUUGAGUUUCGGAGAGGGUGGUGGAAUUCCCAGUGUAGAGGUGAAAUUCGUAGAGAUUGGGAGGAACACCGGUGGCGAAGGCGACCACCUGGCCGCAAACUGACGCUGAGGUGCGAAAGCGUGGGUAGCAAACAGG